CUCCCCCAACCCCCCUGCUCUCUCUCUCUCUCUCUCUUUCUCUUUCUCUCUCUCUCUUUCUCUUUUUGGCUGAGCAAAUAGGCCAGAUGGCAGUGAGGGGAACAGACAACAAGUGAGGCAUGGCAUAUGGGGAGCUUGUUUAAUUUCAGCUCCUGUAGGGAAGUAGAUUGGAGGAGGUGAGCUACAAAGGCAGAAAAUGGAAAGGAGAAGGGUAAAAAAAACCACAACAACAACUGACCCUUCCAAGGGGGAAAUUGGAUUCAAUUUACUCUUGUUGGCCAGUGGAAGCAGUUGAGAAUGAGGUGACUCUAAAGCAGAAAGUGCCCUUUUCGCAUCUCGCAGGUUCAGCCCCUUCCCCUGUCAGCCCCCCUCACACCAACUCUUCACGAUGGUCUGACAGGGGCAGAGGAGGCGGGCAGGAUUUCUUAUGUAACACGGUCAAUGGCUGUCUGUUUGUUUAUCAAUUCCAGGAAGAAGCUUGGCCAGUAAUUUAGGGAGAGAAAAAAUAGAGGUGUCUGGGGCUAAAAUAAGGGGCGGAGGAAGCCUGGUCCCCAUUAACCUAGUUCUUGCUUCUACUCUGAGCCUUCUCGUUGGUUCAAUGCACCUUUUCAGUUGAUUCAGCUCUCUCCUCAGGCAGCUACCUACGUAACCACACCUCGGCCUGCUGACCCUGUCCACUCCCAGUGCUGAUAUGGAAAAGUCCAGGCAGGAUGGCGGACAUCAGACCGUAGAGACCACGAUGAAUGGCCCUCAAGCAGAAGCCCUUUGUUUCCAAUCAAAAUUUAUUUAACCUUCCUGGUGGCCACCUAAAAUGUCAAAUUUAAGGCAACAUUGGCUGGAAUUUCUGGAGAGAUUCUGGCCAAGGCACAUAGAAUGGACCAUGCCUUGCUCACUCAGUGCACACAUUCCCACAGAUCAAAUACACUGUUACCCUAGGCUCCUUUCACUCUGCCAUUGCUGGGGGGCCCUUCUCCCCAGGAGCAGGUCCAUUCCUACCAUCCAGGGAAGGCUGUGGCCCAGUGCAGUGCUGCGAUCUUAGGGGGACUGGGAAAGACCUAGGAGCGGUAACAAUGACACUGGGAAAGAAUACUAGCCAGGCUCAUGUGCUGGAGCGGCAGCCUGCCCCCCUUCCCUGCAGGAGCCUCCCCAGCUCCACCAGGCAACCCGUUCUGCAGCUGAUAACCGGAUUAGGCAGCAGAAUGGGGCAGAUGAGUACCCCGAGGGGCCCUGCCUGGGAACAGGGGCUCCCUGGCCUGGCGUGGGGGCUGCCACUGU